UCUGAACGAGCAUCUGAAUUUUGUGAUGCAAAUUGGGCAAAUGCAAAUUCCACGCGUCUUUUACCACAUACCAGACCUAAGGAACUAGUACCAGACUCAACAGACUCGCUCAUGGCCUGCUCAUCAGAUACAUUGACCACAGAUCAACAUGUUCACCAAUUGUGUGGAAGUAGAACUUGAUGAAGUCAGUUUUCAUACUAGGAUCUAGCACAGCAGCUAUAAGAAGAGCAAUAUUAGGAUUUGUCCAAUAUUUCUGGAAUUUGGUAUGCAUCUUGUCAGCCAAUUCAUUGAGGAGCUCAUUAGUGUUCCAUGUCUCAUCAAGCAAAACAUCUCGGAUGGCUAGCAGCAUCUUCAAGAAAAGAUGGGCUGUAGGAUGCCUAUCCGUAGAAAAUGCUUUAGUUGCCUCACUGAACUCUUGAAGAAAGCCAUGAAGAGCUUCCACAUUUGCCCAUUCAUAAUCACUUGGAGCUUCAUGAUGUUGCUCAGUCGCAUAUCUGUUUAGAGCCACCUUGUACUUCAAUGCUUCGUUUAGCAUGUCAUAGGUGGAGUUCCAUCGGUGUGGAACAUCCAGAACCAGUCCUGACUUCACUUUGAGGCCUAAUGUUUGUACAAUUGUGUUGAAAGUUUGCAUCCGAGAUGGUGUGGAUGUGACAACCUUGAUGAUAUCCCUCA